GCUGUAUUUGGUGAAGCUAUAGAUCUAAUGAGAAGGUACAGGACAAGAAAGAUCUGAUAAGAGAGGGAAAAAACAGCGAUCAGGAAGCGGUCGAUAUGGUUUUUGAUGGAGACCAGCUUAUUUUGACCAGUCUGUUCUGUUAAAGUAAGCAGAAGUCUUGCUCAGAUGGCAGCUGUAUUAUUUAUGCCUUUGUCGAACACAGCCUGUGUAAAGUUGAAGAUCAAGCCUGGGUUGCUCAAAAGAAAAAGAGGGAAUUGUGGAGAGAUUUUUGCUAACAGGACAUGAAUUGAUAAACAUGAGCAAACCCAUGCUCUGAAGUGUCUUUGGACUCAGCCAGGCGGUGGGUGCCAGCCCCUCACAUGCAGCUGCAAGGGGUGGAGUGCCUGCUGCAGUGGGCAGGAACAGCCAGCUGCAGGGUGUUCCUGCCAGGAUUGUUGGCAUAAUGUUAACCUGUCUGUACCACAUACAUAACUCUGGACCAAUCUGUACUUUCCACAUGUACCAAUCUUGAACUAAGUUAGCUCUGCAUGCCUCUUCCAAGUAAGCAUAUAACUCACUGUAACAUGGAAAUAAAGGAGGGAGAAUGAUCAU